rnacentral:rRNA from 1 species
ACUGGAAACCGGAGCUAAUACCGGAUAAUAUUUUGAACCGCAUGGUUCAAAAGUGAAAGACGGUCUUGCUGUCACUUAUAGAUGGAUCCGCGCUGCAUUAGCUAGUUGGUAAGGUAACGGCUUACCAAGGCAACGAUGCAUAGCCACCUGAGAGGGUGAUCGGCCACACUGGAACUGAGACACGGUCCAG